rnacentral:rRNA from 1 species
AACGCUAGCUACAGGCUUAACACAUGCAAGUCGAGGGGAAACGAUAUUGGAAGCUUGCUUCCGAUAGGCGUCGACCGGCGCACGGGUGAGUAACGCGUAUCCAACCUGCCCACCACUUGGGGAUAACCUUGCGAAAGUAAGACUAAUACCCGAUGAUAUCCCUAGAAGACAUCUGAAAGGGAUUAAAGAUUUAUCGGUGAUGGAUGGGGAUGCGUCUGAUUAGCUUGUUGGCGGGGUAACGGCCCACCAAGGCAACGAUCAGUAGGGGUUCUGAGAGGAAGGUCCCCCACAUUGGAACUGAGACACGGUCCAAACUCCUACGGGAGGCAACAGUGAGGAAUAUUGGUCAAUGGGCGAGAGCCUGAACCAGCCAAGUAGCGUGCAGGAUGACGGCCCUAUGGGUUGUAAACUGCUUUUAUAAGGGAAUAAAGUGAGUCUCGUGAGACUUUUUGCAUGUACCUUAUGAAUAAGGACCGGCUAAUUCCGUGCCAGCAGCCGCGGUAAUACGGAAGGUCCGGGCGUUAUCCGGAUUUAUUGGGUUUAAAGGGAGCGUAGGCCGGAGAUUAAGCGUGUUGUGAAAUGUAGACGCUCAACGUCUGCACUGCAGCGCGAACUGGUUUCCUUGAGUACGCACAAAGUGGGCGGAAUUCGUGGUGUAGCGGUGAAAUGCUUAGAUAUCACGAAGAACUCCGAUUG